CCCUAAGUGCCUAAUGAGUGAAAGACACUUGAUAACAAAAUCUUCCAAAGAUGCCUGGUGCUCAGCACGGAGGAUGUGCACAGCGGUGUAGAGGCUCCGGCCCUGUGAUGGUCUCCAUUCUGGGCUUGCCUGGCCCCAGCUUCCCUGCUGUGGUGCUGAAAAGGGAGCUCCGAUGUCCAAGUUUGACAGGAUGAGAUGCUGUGCAGGUAGAUUGCUACAG